rnacentral:rRNA from 2 species
UGCAAGUCGAACGAUGAAGCCUUUCGGGGUGGAUUAGUGGCGAACGGGUGAGUAACACGUGGGCAAUCUGCCCUUCACUCUGGGACAAGCCCUGGAAACGGGGUCUAAUACCGGAUAGCACUGCGGAUCGCAUGGUCUGUGGUUGAAAGCUCCGGCGGUGAAGGAUGAGCCCGCGGCCUAUCAGCUUGUUGGUGAGGUAGUGGCUCACCAAGGCGACGACGGGUAGCCGGCCUGAGAGGGCGACCGGCCACACUGGGACUGAGACACGGCCCAGACUCCUACGGGAGGCAGCAGUGGGGAAUAUUGCACAAUGGGCGGAAGCCUGAUGCAGCGACGCCGCGUGAGGGAUGACGGCCUUCGGGUUGUAAACCUCUUUCAGCAGGGAAGAAGCGAGAGUGACGGUACCUGCAGAAGAAGCGCCGGCUAACUACGUGCCAGCAGCCGCGGUAAUACGUAGGGCGCAAGCGUUGUCCGGAAUUAUUGGGCGUAAAGAGCUCGUAGGCGGCUUGUCACGUCGGUUGUGAAAGCCCGGGGCUUAACCCCGGGUCUGCAGUCGAUACGGGCAGGCUAGAGUGUGGUAGGGGAGAUCGGAAUUCCUGGUGUAGCGGUGAAAUGCGCAGAUAUCAGGAGGAACACCGGUGGCGAAGGCGGAUCUCUGGGCCAUUACUGACGCUGAGGAGCGAAAGCGUGGGGAGCGAACAGGAUUAGA